rnacentral:lncRNA from 1 species
AAACAUACUUCCCUACAUCUAAAAUCCACCAAAUUAAUAUUUGUUAUCUCCUUCCCCCCUCAAAUCCACAAAUCUGGUACCAAAAGAUAAAUAAAUAAAUAAAUAAAUAAUCUCCCAUUCUGCUAUCAAAAAAACAAUCAAUGAACACCCAUUAUUAAACCCUACAUAAAUUCACUUUUAUUUAUUUUUCCUCAAAUCUACAUCUUCUGAUCUCUUCCCAUUUUUUUCCUUCCGUUCCAUAAUAAUUUUCUCUAGAAAACUGUGUUUAGAAAAGUCUCAGAUUUGUUCACAGAACCCUUAUCCUGCGAGUCAAUUUGGGUAAUUUUUGUUCUCCAAAUACCUAAUUAUACUUAUCUUAUUUUUUUAAAUUCGAUAUUAUUUUCAAUUUGAGAUCGAUUUAUAAUAUGUUUGGCUUUUUGAGAAAUUAUAGAUCUGGAAAAUGUUAUGACAUGGAAAUAAUUGUCGCAGAAAUAAUAGAGAUCGAAUUGGACAUGGGGUUUCUGGUGACAACCCUUAUUUUCCUUGUGGUUGGGAUCAUCGCGUCUCUAUGCACUAGAAUCUGCUGCAACAGAGGACCCUCUGCAAAUCUGUGCGUUUAUUUUUUUUCUCAACAUCAUUUUUUUUCUUUUUUGUUUUGAGUUUGAGUUUGAUUAGAUGAUUUUUACCCAGUUCUUCAUCGCAUUCCUUGAAUCGCAAAUUGUUUCUUGACUUCAGUAUUUGAAUGUAUUAUCAAGCUAACGCUAAUGUUUGUCUGCCCUGGCUGUGUAUCAUCAAACAAUCCGAUUCUUACUAUUGUAGUACUUACGAUAUCAAGGAGAGAUGGUUUUUGUUAUUAUAUGGGUUUUUGGAUGAAGGAGCCGCACCUUGAGCUGAUUUAUUAUCGUAGAUAAAGUUUUCCAUCUUAAUCAUGUCUGAUAGCUGGAAUUUUAUUUAUGAAACAAAUGUUAUUUUGCUUGUUAGAUACUUCUUAGAACUAAUCAGCAAUAGUUUGAGGGUGAAUACUUUGUUGGACUUGCAACUUGCGAGAUGCUAGUGUUUUGAUGAAUGAAAUAUGAAUCUUUUCCUGGCUACAGUUGGAUUGAUGCCUCCAAUUAGACUGUAGUGUGUUAAGGAUCUAUGUUUUAAAAAUUAUAAAUGAUAACUGUGUGUCAAGGUAUUUACAUCCAUUAUGGGAUUUCAAGCCUAGAGAUGCUUCCAAGUAUAAAUCAAAACAUUUUGAAGCAUAAACUUCAACAUAAGCUAAUAAAUAAAUCAAGAAAAUGAUAAAGCUAUGAAAGUAACGAAAAAGAAAAAAAUAAUGUUAACAAGUUUAACAUUUAGCUUAUUAAUCCAAAUUCUACUAUUCAAGAAUAUAAAUCUAACACAUAAUUUCAGUCUUCGAGUGAAUGAUAAUUAACCAAGCAAAGAGCAAGUAAAAGGAGAAAAAGUUAUUCGAGAGGAAACACUCAAACUAGUGCAAGCAAUACCUAGAAUAGAAGAAUAAAAAUAUAACCCAACUGACAAUUAACAAAAAGUAGGAUUGCUCAGCAACUAAGUCUUUUAACAAAUGAAACAGCUAAUCAGUUGUUCUAAAGAAUUUUGUGCUUACUCAUUUUUAAAGAUAAAUGAGAGGAAAGAAAACCAAAAGACAGGAGGUAGCAAAAGAAUUAUAAAAGAAAACAGAAUAGGGAGAACUUAUCAGGCACACCUCAUUCUGUCACCAAAAAGCUGCAACAUAACCGAUGGGAUGAUGUAUGGCAGUUUUAAGAGCGGAGGACUUAGCAUGCAUGGACUUUUCACUUCCCUUUUCUACUCAAAUUCUUCCUAUCAUUUAGUUUUUGUGUUGAGGUAUGUUUAAAACAUUCCAAAAGUCCCUUAAAAUGCUCGAGGUAUGAAAUAAAACAGACUAAAAGACUGAAGUUGGUAAAACUAUAAAUCAGUGAAGAAAGGGAGAGUUUGAGAAGUGCACACCUAAUUGACCUGAGGCUUGUGCCUGAAAGCAUGCCCCUCAGUCAAACAUGCUCUUAAAGUAUCUUCUUUCUUCACUUGUGAGCACUUUCCUUAAAAAAAUUACCAAACACAUUAAAAGUCAUGCAGAUAGGCUCUUAAUAUAGUUUUAUAAUUUAAUGUCAUGUCUUGAAUAUUUGAAUCCAAUUAAUAAUGCCAAUCACAGUGUUGUAAUCAUACCUGUUAAGAGUUUGGUGCCAUUAACUUUAUUGGUGGGACUCAUUCAACGUGUUAUGCUAGGUAAAAUAUUGAAUAGAUGUUUGCUAUACUCUUGAUCAUUCACAUAGCUUUGGCAACGGUGGUGACUCCUGCCUUGCAUAUUGCUAACUGUAUUUCAUGUUGCAGGUUACACCUGACAUUGAUUAUUACCGCAACAGUAUGCUGCUGGAUGAUGUAAGUUGUUGUCCCUUGUUUAAGUAAAAACUAGAUUUGUAUUGCGCACAUGCCAUCAUCAAUCUUCCUACUUCUUUAGGAGUAAUAUGAUUUCAACCCUACACAAUCACAAUUAUUGCUGUGCCCAACUAGGUUUUCUUUGGAUUCUUAUUUUUAUUUUUUAGGUGGGAGUCAGAAGCGGAAUAUGUUCACAUUACUGCAUAUGCGUAUCACUUGUUAAAAGCAGUGUUCUAAAAGGCGUAAGAUAUGACAAGCUUCAAGCUUUACGAGCUUAGGCGAGGCCUUGGCGUAAAAAAAGUUACUUAUUUUUAUUAUUAUUUUAAGUACUUAAUCAUUCUAAAAUGAAUUUAAUUAAAAUAAUACAUACCAAAGAUUUGAAACAAUAAAAUAUUAUAUUUAAUAACUUCUACAAUUAGUUACUUAUACAAUUUUUAAGUUUUCGAAAUGCAAAAACUAGAUUAUUUUUUAACUUCAACUAGAUAAGUCCUACUUAACAGAUUUAUGAGAACUUAUACAUACUUUUAAAGUUUUCAACAAAACGAUAAGUUUCAAAAUAUAAUUAUAUAAUAUAGAUAGUACCGUAACUUAAAUUUUAUUUAAAUCUUUAUUGGAUUACUUUUGUACAAAUAACGUUAUUUAAAAAUUUGAAACUAAAGUCAAAUAAAAGCCAUUUAGAAAAAGAAAAAAUAAUAAAAUAAAAAAGUUAAUAAAUUAAAGUUAAAUAAAAGGGUUUUUAAAAAAAUAAUUAAGCGCCUCCUAGGCACACCUAUGCCGGCCUAGGCAUGCAUUAGUUGAUCACUUGAUUCACACUUAGUGUUAAAGCAGUUGACCACUUGAUUCACGCUUAGGGUGUGUUUACUGCAAGUAUGAAUUUUACAUGGAAAAAAAUAAAUUGUCUAGAAUUUAUUUGCAUGAAAAUUGUCAAUUAAAUAUGUUUUGAUUGAUUUGAUUUUUAACCUAAAAAAUGUUAUACUUACCUAUUUUUUAUUGGUAAGUAGAUGAGAGAGAAAUGAAGUAGAUGUGAGAGUGAGAGAGAGAGAGAGAGAGAGAGUUACUUGGAAAAUAAAAAUCUACUCCCUCUAAAAAAAAUAUUUUUCUUGUUUUCAAGGAAAACAUGGUCAUAUGACCAAAAGUAGAUCAUACAGCAAAAAAGUAGGAAUUGGGGUGGAAAAAUGAAAUUUUUUUAUAGAAAAUAUUUGCAAUCAAACGCACCCUUAGUGUUAAAGCAAAGCUUUUUGUCCAGGUCUCGAGCCUAGAACACUAAAUCCAUGUUUUGUGCUGAAAAAAGUUUUUAUUUUUUCUUUUUUUUCUUUCUCUCUUUUGGCACUCGCACUGAAAUGGAUCUUUUAUCUUCUUCUUCUUUUUGUUUACUCAAAAUAUGGGAGAACAGGAGAGGCGUGGGGAGUUAGGGGUCACCUUCCUCAGAGUAAUAUUUCCCUUUCUGAGGGAAAGAAGUCCUUGUGAAAAUGUAAUACUAUAAUAGCCUCAUUGAAUGUAUCCCCAACCAUACUAUAGUAACCACAUUGAAUACAUCCCAAACCUGUCACCUUGAGGCACAAGUUAUGGAUUGCAAUUGCAAUUGCAUUUGCUAAUUGAAUGCUAAGAUAUUGUUCUUUGGUUUUCCAUUUAUAGUUACUUGAUGUCCUUUUAAAUUAGUAUUUUCUAUACAAUUAAUCUUUCUAAACUUUAUAUGUAUGCUUUUCAAAAAUGUUUGAUCUGGUUACUGUGGGAAACACCAUUAUGAACUGAAUCCUUUAUUCCUGUAGUGAUCAAAGGGGUUUCUCUGACUUGGAUGUUGCUGUCUUUGUUGUAAUUUUCACCUUCAAAAAUACGUACUCUAUCCUGGAUUUUGUAACUUAAUGGGGUACAUUGAUUGAUACAUUAAAUGAUGUGGCACGUACAAUCCUUGAGUUUGGGUGUGUUUGAAAAAUGUAAAUACUCGAGUAGGAAUAGAAAUUGGCAUGGAGAAUGUGACUUGUUCGGUUUUAUUAGUGUAUCCUUGACAAUAGUUGGUUUAGUUGUAAAAUUUGUUCAGUUCUGGUACCCCAAAAAAAAAAAAAAAAAAAAUGUGUUUGGUUUGUUUUGCUUGUAUUUUACUUGAUUCUUUUCUAAUUAAGUUCACGUUGUUUCUCCUUUUCCUUGAACAGGUGGGCGAUAGUUUAUUUAGCACAGAUGAAGCCGCUUAUUGUUCCAAUUUUGAAUGAAACAGAGUGAGAUGUAAGCGGUUGCUAUCAUCAUAAGUGUCAACUCUACGACUCAUGGAUUUACAAUUCGGAGAGUAAAGAAUAACGAUUUGUAGGGUAUUCACGUUCCCAAAAUGCUAUUGUGUCAGAUUUGUACUUAAUUUUUAGCGGUAUGAACUUUGCACGUCUUCCCAACUAGACUUGAUUUUCUGACCCUAUUCUGUUAUUCAUUUUUUAUUCUGAAGGAUGAUAUUGUGUAUUUUGUAGUGUCGAAGAAAAUAAUAUAUGGAACAUAUAAUGUGUCCAACUCAGUUGGCUGUCUCUUUGAGCUAGAAAUGUUAGCAAUCAAUAGCUUGAAAUCUUGUCUUCAUAUAACAUAGCUAGAAUUUUAGGAAUACUUUUGUAUGCUGUAAGAUCUUAGAUUCGCA